rnacentral:rRNA from 1 species
GACGAACGCUGGCGGCGUGCUUAACACAUGCAAGUCGAACGGAAAGGCCCUGCUUUUGUGGGGUUCUCGAGUGGCGAACGGGUGAGUAACACGUGAGUAUCCUGCCCUUGACUUUGGGAUAACUUCAGGAAACUGGGGCUAAUACCGGAUAGGAUCUCCUGCUGCAUGGUGGGGGUUGGAUAGUUUCGGCGGUUGGGGAUGGACUCGCGGCUUAUCAGCUUGUUGGUGGGGUAGUGGCUUACCAAGGCUUUGACGGGUAGCCGGCCUGGGAGGGUGACCGGCGACAAUGGGACUGAGAUAGGGAGCAGAGUGGAACGGGAGGCAGCGGGGGGGAAUAUUGCACAAUGGGAGGAAGCGUGAUGAAGAAACGCCGCGUGCGGGAUGACGGCCUGCGGGUAGAAAAAAGCAUUAGGCUGUGACGAAGCGGGAGUGACGGUAAUGGGUAAAGAAGCACCGGCUAACUACGUG